GCCUACAGCAACAUUGCUCAGGGUGUGUCUGGUUCUGGAAGCUAAGCUGUGCUUGGACUGGUCAAAAGUUGGAUGGGACACUGUCUGGGAACACCAAAAGCUGUGGGUU
rnacentral:rRNA from 1 species